GAUGAACGCUAGCUACAGGCUUAACACAUGCAAGUCGAGGGGAAACGGCAUCGAAAGCUUGCUUUUGAUGGGCGUCGAACGGCGCACGGGUGAGUAACGCGUAUCCAACCUGCCCAUCACUUGGGAAUAACCUUGCGAAAGUAAGACUAAUGCCCAAUGACAUCCCACGAAGGCAUCCGAAUGGGAUUAAAGAUUUAUCGGUGAUGGAUGGGGAUGCGUCUGAUUAGCUUGUUGGCGGGGUGACGGCCCACCAAGGCAACGAUCAGUAGGGGUUCUGAGAGGAAGGUCCCCCACAUUAGAUCUGGGACACGGUCCAAACUCCUACGGGCGGUAUCAAUGAGGCAUAUUUGUCAAUGGGCGAGACCCUGAACCAUCCAAGUAGUGUGCAGGAUGUCGGCCCUCUGGGUUGUAAACUGCUUUUAUAAGGGCAUAAAGUUCGUAACGACUGACUUUUUGCAUGUACCUUAUGAAUAAGGACCGGCUAAUUCCGUG
rnacentral:rRNA from 1 species